UGGACUGUAACUGACGCUGAUGCUCGAAAGUGUGGGUAUCAAACAGGAUUAGAUACCCUGGUAGUCCACACAGUAAACGAUGAAUACUCGCUGUUUGCGAUAUACAGUAAGCGGCCAAGCGAAAGCGUUAAGUAUUCCACCUGGGGAGUACGCCGGCAACGGUGAAACUCAAAGGAAUUGACGGGGGCCCGCACAAGCGGAGGAACAUGUGGUUUAAUUCGAUGAUACGCGAGGAACCUUACCCGGGCUUGAAUUGCAACUGAAUGAUGUGGAGACAUGUCAGCCGCAAGGCAGUUGUGAAGGUGCUGCAUGGUUGUCGUCAGCUCGUGCCGUGAGGUGUCGGCUUAAGUGCCAUAACGAGCGCAACCCUUAUCGAUAGUUACCAUCAGGUUAUGCUGGGGACUCUGUCGAGACUGCCGUCGUAAGAUGUGAGGAAGGUGGGGAUGACGUCAAAUCAGCACGGCCCUUACGUCCGGGGCUACACACGUGUUACAAUGGGGGGUACAGAAGGCAGCUACACGGCGACGUGAUGCUAAUCCCGAAAGCCUCUCUCAGUUCGGAUUGGAGUCUGCAACCCGACUCCAUGAAGCUGGAUUCGCUAGUAAUCGCGCAUCAGCCACGGCGCGGUGAAUACGUUCCCGGGCCUUGUACACACCGCCCGUCAAGCCAUGAAAGCCGGGGGUACCUGAAGUGCGUAACCGCAAGGAGCGCCCUAGGGUAAAACUGGUGAUUGGGGCUAAGUCGUAACAAGGUAGCCGUACCGGAAGGUGCGGCUG
rnacentral:rRNA from 1 species